rnacentral:rRNA from 1 species
CCUACGGGAGGCAGCAGUGGGGAAUAUUGGGCAAUGGGCGCAAGCCUGAACCAGCAACGCCGCGUGCAGGAAGAAGGCUUUCGGGGUGUAAACUUCUUUUGACAGGGGAGAGCAGAAGACGGUACCUGUCGAAUAAGCCACGGCUAACUACGUGCCAGCAGCCGCGGUAAUACGUAGGUGGCAAGCGUUGUCCGGAUUUACUGGGUGUAAAGGGCGUGUAGCCGGGCUGACAAGUCAGAUGUGAAAUCCGGGGGCUCAACCCCCGAACUGCAUUUGAAACUGUUGGUCUUGAGUAUCGGAGAGGCAGGCGGAAUUCCUAGUGUAGCGGUGAAAUGCGUAGAUAUUAGGAGGAACACCAGUGGCGAAGGCGGCCUGCUGGACGACAACUGACGGUGAGGCGCGAAAGCGUGGGGAGCAAACAGGAUUAGAUACCCUUGUAGUC